rnacentral:rRNA from 1 species
UACGUAGGGGGCAAGCGUUUGUCCGGAAUUAUUGGGCGUAAAGAGCGCGUAGGCGGUCCGGUAAGUCGGCUGUGAAAGUCAAGGGCUCAACCCUUGAAAGCCGGCCGAUACUGUCGGACUAGAGUCCGGAAGAGGCGAGUGGAAUUCCCGGUGUAGCGGUGAAAUGCGCAGAUAUCAGGAGGAACACCAAUUGCGAAGGCAGCUCGCUGGGACGUAACUGACGCUGAGGAGCGAAAGCGUGGGGAGCGAACAGG